rnacentral:lncRNA from 1 species
CCAAAUUCAGUUCCAUGCAGAGACAAAACACUAGGUGAUUUCUUCCCAUUUGUUCUAGUCAUGACGGAGAGCUAUCCUGAUACCUAUUGUUGGUGAGAGGUGGCACAUCUCCUGAAAUUAGUCCGAGAGCAAGCUGGUACGGACACCACCGGUGUCCGUUAUUAAAACCAAAAAAAAAUAAAAAAAUUCCAGAAACAAAAAAAAAAAGGAAUUCCAGAAGUUUCUGAAUUUCUGUUUCUUUUAGUUCCCUAGUUAAAAUAACUGGAUUGUGGUCUCAAUAGAAAAAGUUGUUCUUGUCUAUUGUUUUUUUGUUUUUUCUUAAACACCUGUAGAACUAAUAAUAGGAAUAAGAAACAGAAAAGCCAGUAAAACUUUCCAAAUUCCCAAAUAAUAAAUAAGAAAAUCAUGAUCUCACCCAAAAAAAAAAAAAACCUCAAAAAUUAAUGAUAUGAACGAAAAUUACCUCCAAUGUCAAUAGACAAAUGUGAAAUUUCUUCACAAGAUUGCUCACUCUUGUCUAAUUUCCCAUCAAUUCCCUUUCCCUCCAUAUCCAAUUCUUGUUAUCUUCUUGAAUUGAACAGUCAAUUAAGUGCCAAAAAAGAAUUUUGUAAGUGUCAAUACACGAUCAGCGAAGAAUAUAUAGAUGCCAUUUCUGUUUUUUGUCAAAAAAGGGCUGCUACUACUUCACUAGUCACUAGUCAAACAGGUCGUUAAGUCGCCCAAUUACAGAAUUAGAGAAAGGAAGGCGUGAAAAACAAAAUUCAUCUAAUUAUUUUUGUCUUUGUAUUUG